GUGAAUCAUCGAAUUUUUGAACGCAUAUUGCACUCUCUGGUAUUCCGGAGAGUACGCCUGUUUGAGGGUAAUUAAAAAGAAUCUUCUACCAAUUUUUUUGUUCAAAGGAAAUGAGCUCUCCGCGCUUAUAGCGGUAGCUUGAAAUAAAUGGCUAAGACUCACUUUAGUUGAGACGCGUAAUAAUAUUAUUUCGCGAA
rnacentral:misc_RNA from 1 species